GGAGUUGUUAAUGAUCUACCCCAGCUGCCACAUUGUGGAACAAUACAGAGAUUAGCAUGGCCCCUGCGCAAGGAUGACAUGUAAAACUUUAUGGUUUUCAUAGGUAGUU